UAAACGGAUGCGAUGACAACCGGCUGGC
rnacentral:sRNA from 1 species